UCUGGCACCUGCGCAGUAGCCGUUAGAGGGGCUGGGAGGGUCUCGCUUUUUUUCUGUCUGUCUUUCCCGGGCCGCGGUCCUGAGCGAUCGGGGGUCUCUGGCCCAGUCCCCCGGCCCUGUCUGCCGAGGAAAGGCCCAAGACUGACAGGGCCUGUUCUCUCCUGUUGAAAUGAGGGGUGGGAGCGAGUGACCUUCGAGAGACGUGGGGACCCUUUCUUGAGGCCUAAGGGGCCCCCCGCAGAGGUCCGGGGACUUCCUCCAGAGGCCUAGGGGCCCCUUAGAGAUCAGGGGAUGCCCCUCCAGAUACCCAGGAACCCCCUUUAGGGGCCUGAGGACCCUUCUAGACACCCAGGAACCCCCUCUUGAGGUCCCAAGACCUACCUCCAGAGGCCUAGGGGGUCCUCUAGAGAUGUAGGGACCCUCUUGGGUAGUCUGGAGCCCCUCUAGAUAUUUAAGAACUCCUUUGGAGGUCUAGGGACCCUUCUAAAUACCCAGGGACCACCUUGAGAAGUUUGGGGGUACCUCUAGAUACCCAGAAAUGCCCUCUAGGGAGGGGCCUGGGGCCCCAGGAGAUACCUGGGUGCCCACCAGAGAUUGAGUGACUCCCCCCCUCCAGAAAAGUAUCCUUUGGGGGUAAAGUGACAAACUUUGGUAAGCCCCGGAGACCUUCUUGAGGAGGAGACAGCCAGUGACACAGAGCUGUCCCAAGCAGCCACAGCCCUCGCUGGGUGAGGGGCUGGAGAAGACAAGGAAGCCCCUGAGUCUCUUCCCACUCUGAGAUUCUUGGCUCUGCCACUCACUUCCUGAAUGACUCUGGACAAAACUCUCACCCUCUCUGAGCCUCUUUUUCCUCCUCUCCAAGAUGAGGGGGUUGGAGAGGACAGAAGGUUCCUUCUCUAAUGGCCUCUGAUGGCCCCACCUCUCCGCCUUCCCCAGUAAGGCUGUGGACCUCUGGCCUCCAGGUCUACCAGGAUCAGGCAAAGAGGCUGCAGUUCCAGAAGCCAGAGGGGAGGUCCGAAUGGAACCUUUAUGGGAGACACUGAGAAACAUCAAGGGAGCUGGAACCCCGGACCAUCAGGCCUAUGACAGGUCCGUAUGACUCAACAGUCCCCACUUCUGUGGCACUGGACAUCUUCUUCCCUUCUGACGUCUCCCUUUGCUGCCUUCUCACUUAAGGUCCAUCCCAGUUCUAUGUGUCUGAGCCUAUGGUGGGGCAGCGCAGGAUUAGACAGGGUACCUUCGGCUGAGCUCCUGGCCAGUCUGGCGACCUCGUGAUUGGUCAGUGCAGUGACCGAGUAAGGCUGUGGAGACACCCAAGCCCACCACUGGCUUCCAGGUGCCCCAGGAUCAGCAAAAGAGGCUGCCGUUCCUUGAAGCCAGAGGGAGGCACAAGGAAGGAAUUCAAAAGGAAGCUGUAAACACUGAUGAGGAAACUGAAGCAAACAGAGGUUAAGUGAUUUUCCCAGAGUCAUGCUGUCUUCGUGAACCUUAUUCCUGUCAGUAAAAGCCACAACCCAGUGACAGUUUGGCCUUUUUGCUGUUCCCCACACAUGACUCUCUCUCUCCGUCCAGUAUCUUCCCUGGCUGUCUCCCACACCUCGAAUGCUUUCCAUCCUCCUUUCUGCCUAAACAUUGGGAAAAUAAGAACCCACUGACUUCACCUGCCGCUACAGAUGCCUCUCUCAACAUGUCCGUAACAACAAUGAACAGAUAUUGGACCUUUCAACGACUUCACAGAGCGCAGAAUGGCUGCUCCUGACCACUUCCCAUGUAUACUUUUCUAGAGUCCCAAUUGUCCUAACUCUGACCUUCAUAAAACUUACAUGUUCUUCAUUAAACAUAGGUUCCCUUCCACAUACAUUGCAAAUAUGAGCCUCCAGAAAUUGACACUAUUUUUCAAAUACUAUAUUCAUGUCUUCAUAGUAUUGCUAUUGUGAGGGAUGGCUCACAGUGAAGUUCCCUCUUUAGUACCCCCCUGCUACACUCCUAUCUCUCUCCCACAUUCUUCCUGAGUGUGAGAGACGGCCUUCAGUGCAGUUCCCACAGGCCUAAAUUUCCUCCAGAAAGCCUUGAAUUAAAUUUCCAUUUUCCCCGAUAAACUUCUAUUUCUCCAGCACCACGUCAGCAUGGUGGGGGGUGGGGGGGAGCUCGGUGCCUGGUCACUCCUACUUCCUAGUACACAUAUGCAUCUAGUCCAAACGUGGGCAUGUUUACUUCUAUUGGGUAUUAGCUGCUGCGUUUAGAAUGUACGCCCUGAGUACCCAGUCAAAGGAAAACAGGGUAAGAGAGUGGGAAGGGGCAUCCCGUCAGGGGAUAAAAAGCCAAGGGUGUGGCUCCCAACUUGUCCUCUCCUGGCGGGCAAUGGCGACUAGGGGCGGUACCCUUUCUCAUGAGAAAGCAAUAAACUCCUUUCUGUUUUCUA